GAAUAUUGGACAAUGGGCGCAAGCCUGAUCCAGCAAUGCCGCAUGAGUGAUGAAGGCCCUAGGGUUGUAAAGCUCUUUUACCCGGGAUGAUAAUGACAGUACCGGGAGAAUAAGCCCCGGCUAACUCCGUGCCAGCAGCCGCGGUAAUACGGAGGGGGCUAGCGUUGUUCGGAAUUACUGGGCGUAAAGCGCGCGUAGGCGGAUUGUUAAGUCGGGGGUGAAAUCCCGGGGCUCAACCCCGGAACUGCCUCCGAUACUGGCAGUCUUGAGUCCGAGAGAGGUGAGUGGAAUUCCGAGUGUAGAGGUGAAAUUCGUAGAUAUUCGGAGGAACACCAGUGGCGAAGGCGGCUCACUGACUCGGUACUGACGCUGAGGUGCGAAAGCGUGGGGAGCAAACAGG
rnacentral:rRNA from 1 species